rnacentral:rRNA from 1 species
AUGCAGAUCAUCACCGUAUGCAGCCUGGCGGACUUCAAGGCGCUGGUCCUGCCCUUCAUGGUGAAGGGCAGCCUCGAGCGGUGCCUCUAUGCUGGGCCUCCGGCCGAGCUCAGCCUGGUGCACCGUGUCAACAUCUGCAGCGACAUCGCCGAGGGGGUGGCCUACCUGCACCACCACUCGCCAGUCAAGGUCAUCCACUGUGACCUUAAGCCAAGCAACGUCCUCAUCAACGACGACAUGACCGUGCUCGUGUCUGACUUCGGCAUUUCCCGGCUGGUCAUGAGCGUUGGUGGUGUGGCCAACCCGGCCGACGUCGAUGCCUCCACCGCCAACAUGCUGUGCGGUUCCAUCGGAUACAUUCCUCCAGAGUAUGGCUACGGCUCGAACCCGGCGACGAUGGGUGAUGUGUACAGCUUCGGCGUUCUGGUGAUGGAGAUGGUAACGAGGAAGAAGCCGACCGACGACAUGUUCGAGGGCGGGCUGAGCCUGCACAAGUGGGUGAAGAGCCACUACCACGGCCGGGCCGACGCGGUGGUCGACCAGGCGCUGGCCAGGAUGGUUAUGGACCAGACGCCCGAGGUGAGGAGGAUGUCGGACGCGCCAUCGGCGAGCUGCUGGUGA